AGAGGCACAUUUUUGGGCCAGUAACAAUUUUAAAAAUCUAGUCUAUUUACCCAACUUGAGGCUGUUAUUUUUAGAGAUGAGACACUAGACACUGAAAGUUUUUUUUAUACCCAGACAAAUGGAUUCUAAAAUUUGAAUAGAAGAGCAAAGAAAAUAGGAACCAAUUUGAAGGACUACAAGGUGGACUGCUUGCUCAGCUCAGUAUCAACACUUAUG
rnacentral:lncRNA from 1 species